UGUCAGAGUAUGAUCUUCAUGCUAGCCAGAAAUCUGUGGACCAUAACAUGGGUGUCUUUACAAUCACAGCAACAAAAGAGCAGAGCCAAUGAUGUUCACGUGGAGCUGAGAGUGCUGCACAUUUCUGGGAGGACUUGAGAAGCUGCUGAAAACUCAGCGGUUCUCUGACCACAUAAAGACAAAUCAUCGUGACUUCAGAAUCUACGUCUUGUUGGUCUACAAUAUUCCAGUUCUAGUGCACGAUAAAGCAUUUCAGUCUGGCAGAAGCUCAGGACAAAAUUCAAGGGAGUCCAGCAUUGCAUGAGGAGUUUCUGCUGCUGUGUUUAUUGAAAGAGAGAGAAGGCAGAGGAAUUACUCAAAGGAAAAAUCGAACAGUGAGGAGAACAUGCUCAGAGGAGUUGGAUUACAGCUUACACGUGUAUUUGAACCCAGAGUUACACAAUUUCACGAAGAACUUGCGUGCAGAAAUGGUUUCUGAUUUUUGCUUACAACGGCUGAGAGUUUGUAAGAGAUUUGGAGGGACAUAACAUUUAUUUCCUACUUCCCUGAGCUUCAGUCCAGGCCUUGGAAAAACCCAUCUGACAGUGAGUUUGUUUGUAUAUUUCAAAUUUUUUCCUAAGUGUGCUAGGCUCAUUAGCAAGCCUUGGAAAAUGCAUGCUUUGUUGAAAUUAGUACGGAAAACAAGAUA